UACAGAGGUUUCAAGCGUUGUUCGGAUUCAUUGGGCGUAAAGGGUGCGUAGGCGGCGCGGUAAGUCGGGCGUGAAAUCUCGGAGCUUAACUCCGAAACUGCAUUCGAUACUGCCGUGCUUGAGGACUGGAGAGGAGACUGGAAUUUACGGUGUAGCGGUGAAAUGCGUAGAUAUCGUAAGGAAGACCAGUGGCGAAAGCGGGUCUCUGGACAGUUCCUGACGCUGAGGCACGAAGGUCAGGGGAGCAAACGGG
rnacentral:rRNA from 1 species